rnacentral:rRNA from 1 species
GCUAUAAUGCAGUCGAGCGCUGUGGGUUGGUACUUGUUCCUACUGCAUGAGCAGCGAACGGGUGAGUAACGCGUGGGGAAUCUGCCUUUGAGCGGGGGACAACAUUUGGAAACCAAUGCUAAUACCGCAUAAAAUCUUUAAACAUCAUGUUUUAAGUUUGAAAAAUGCAAUUGCAUCACUCAAAAAUGAUCCCCCGUUGUAUUAUCUAGUUGGUGGGGUAAAAGCUCACCAAGGCGAUGAUACAUAAUCGACCUGAAAAGAUGGUCGGCCGCCUUGGGAAUGAGAAACCGCCCAAACUCCUACUGGAGGGGGCAGUAGGGAAUCUUCCGCAAUGGACGAAAAUCUGACCGAGCAACGCCGCCGGGGGGAAGAAGGUUUUCGGAUCGUCAAACUCUGUUGGUAGAGAAGAACGUUGGUGAGAGUGGAAAGCUCAUCAAGUGACGGUAACUACCCAGAAAGGGACGGCUAACUACGUGCCAGCAGCCGCGGUAAUACGUAUGUCCCGAGCGUUGUCCGGAUUUAUUGGGCGUAAAGCGAGCGCACGUGGUUUAUUAAGUCUGAUGUAAAAGGCCCGGCUCAACCCUUGGAUGCGUUGGAACUGGUGGACCUGAGUGCUGGAUAGGAGAAGGAAUACUCCGUGUGCGGUGAAAACGUAGAUAUAUUUGGAACACCCGUGGCGAAAAGGCUCUCUGGGAGUACUGAACUGAGGCUCUAAAAGUGUGGACGCAAACAGGAUUGAUACCCGGGGUCCCACCCCGAAACGAGCGCUGGUGUGUUAGGGAGCUUUACUCUCUGUGUAUCGCAGCUAACGCAAUAAGCACUCCCCCUGGGGAGUACGACCGCAAGGUUGAAUCUCAAAGGAAUUGACGGGGCCCCGCACAAGCGGUGGAGCAUGUGGUUUAAUUCGAAGCAACGCGAAGACCCUUCCCAGGUCUUGACAUUCUCGUGCUAUUCCAAAAAAUAGGAUUUUCUUUCGGGACAAGGGAUACAGGUGGUGCAUGGUUGUCGUCAGCUCGUGUCGUGAGAUGUUGGGUUAAGUCCCGCAACGAGCGCAACCCUUAUUGUUAGUUGCCAUCAUUAAGUUGGGCCUCUAAGGAGACUGCCGGUGACAAACCGGAGGAAGGUGGGGAUGACGUCAAAUCAUCAUGCCCCUUAUGACCUGGGCUACACACGUGCUACAAUGGAUGGUACAACGAGUCGCGAGCCAGCGAGGUUAAGCUAAUCUCUUAAAACCAUUCUCAGUUCGGAUUGUAGGCUGCAACUCGCCUACAUGAAGUCGGAAUCGCUAGUAAUCGCGGAUCAGCACGCCGCGGUGAAUACGUUCCCGGGCCUUGUACACACCGCCCGUCACACCACGGGAGUUGGGAGCACCCGAAGUAGGUGCCGUAACCGUAAGGAGCUAGCUGUCUAGUAGA